GACGAACCGUGCGACCGUUGUUCGGAAUCACUGGGCUUAAAGGGCGCGUAGGCGGUCAAUCCAGUCGGGGGUGAAAUCUUGCAGCUUAACUGUAAAAGUGCCUUCGAUACUGAUUGACUCGAGGGAGGUAGGGGCAGGUGGAACUUCCAGUGGAGCGGUGAAAUGUGUUGAUAUUGGAAGGAACGCCGGUGGCGAAAGCGACCUGCUGGAUCUCUUCUGACGCUGAGGCGCGAAAGCUAGGGGAGCAAACGGG
rnacentral:rRNA from 1 species